rnacentral:rRNA from 1 species
CCUACGGGAGGCAGCAGUGGGGAAUAUUGCGCAAUGGGCGAAAGCCUGACGCAGCGACGCCGCGUGAGGGAUGAAGGUCUUCGGAUCGUAAACCUCUGUCAGCAGGGAAGAACGGUCACUGUGCUAAUCAGCAGUGCAUUGACGGUACCUGCAAAGGCAGCACCGGCUAACUCCGUGCCAGCAGCCGCGGUAAUACGGAGGGUGCGAGCGGUAAUCGGAAUUACUGGGCGUAAAGCGCUCGUAUGCGGUAUGUCAAGUCAAGGGUGAAAUCCCCGCGCUCAACGUGGGAACUGCCUUUGAAACGGGCAAACUGGAGUGUGUGAGAGGAUAGUGGAAUUCCAGGUGUAGGAGUGAAAUCCGUAGAUAUCUGGAGGAACAUCAGUGGCGAAGGCGACUAUCUGGCACAUAACUGACGCUGAGGAGCGAAAGCGUGGGUAGCAAACAGGAUUAGAUACCCUUGUAGUC